UUACUUAGACUGCUCUUUUUUGUUUUUGCGGGCCAGGGUGUGCCCCCCUACCUAAUUGAGGGAGCAGGAAGCCACCUACGCGUAUCAACUUAGUAGUAGCGGGGGCGUUGUCGACGGGGGUCGCGCACGGACUUAAACGAGGGGCGCUGCUUGUCUCCUUCCUCGCCGCUACCCAAGGAGCGUCUGCCUCUAUUCCAAUCGUACGGCCUGGGGGCGCGGGAGGGGGAGUAGGUACAAGAACCAAGAGACAAUUUGAUCGCGCGUGCGUACAGAAACCAGAGCUGCUGCGAGCACCCCCGACCAACACCUAGACUCGGCAACUCGCUAUGGGACGCGAACCUAAAGGUCGGUCUAGGUCUAAAAGAAUCGUCUGUGUGCCCCUACGAACUAAGAGAUGCCCUCCACUGUAUCCUGGUGGGUCAGCCCCGCAAACGUCUAAACAAUCUAAAUCAACUACAAGCAGGUGGCCUCCUCGUCUAAGUCUCCCUACUUUUGUUCAUACAACGGGAACUACUGUUCCACCCUACCCAAUCCUCCUUGUCUUCUCUACCGUACGGACUGCUCGCCUGUUGUUCGCGGCCUUCUCACUGGUACACACGUAAACAGACGUAAAACGGAGCAAGGGUACGUACGUUUAGUAUCUCUUGCGCCCGACUACGAGUGGCCGCUGCCUGUUGUUUCCUCAGUUGCCCGUUUCUCUAAAGAGGUUGAACCACGACCGCUAAACUCUAACUGACACCACAACGAAGGUGUCCACCACACCGGCCAGUUAAAUAUUCGCCAGCAGAUGACGCAUCGGCCGGAGAUCUUCUCAGCAACGCAACUACCUCGUAAUUUACUAUCUGCCCACCGAAAUACUAAACGUCCCGUCUACCUCCUUAACUAAAGUAACCGUCACUCAAUUGAAGCGGUACUGAGCAAACUAUUAACGUAGACCCGCGCGCAGCACCCGCCGUACGUUCGUUACAGGUCGUACGGAUCUUUUUCUUUGAGUCACGAGUUGAUGUACUUUUCUUUUGCGAGCGCACAUAAUAACUAACCGGGACACGAAUGUAGUUCUACGUUGCUGUGCUUUGUGUAGCUGGUCCGUCGAUUUUGGUGCAUCGUGAGACUUUUUGUCGAUCGAUGUUGGUAUGCCACUGGAUGUAGCUGAGUCCGCGAGAAUCUUGAAGUCGCACGUUUAGUAACGGUACUGGUGGUCCAACUGCUGCGGUUCGCGUUUCUACAAGAAGUCGGUACGAACCAAAAGAAGUUCGUCUCUAUGUACCGCUACCUGACUACGUACACUUUACUCCACAGGGGUUGCCCGCGACUUCAUGACUUACAUGAACAAGAGGG
rnacentral:rRNA from 1 species